UACGGGAGGCAGCAGUGGGGAAUAUUGCACAAUGGGCGCAAGCCUGAUGCAGCCAUGCCGCGUGUAUGAAAAAGGCCUUCGGGUUGUAAAGUACUUUCAGUCGUGAGGAAGGUGUUAAGGUUAAUAACCUUAGCAAUUGACGUUAGCGACAGAAGAAGCACCGGCUAACUCCGUGCCAGCAGCCGCGGUAAUACGGAGGGUGCGAGCGUUAAUCGGAAUUACUGGGCGUAAAGGGCACGCAGGCGGUUAAUUAAGUUGGAUGUGAAUCCCCGGGCUUAACCUGGGAAUGGCAUUCAAGACUGGUUAGCUAGAGUCUUGUAGAGGGGGUAGAAUUCCAUGUGUAGCGGUGAAAUGCGUAGAGAUGUGGAGGAAUACUGGUGGCGAAGGCGGCCCCUGGACAAAGACUGACGCUCAUGUGCGAAAGCGUGGGGAGCAAAC
rnacentral:rRNA from 1 species